CCUCGUUUCUGGGUGCACCCUUUUGUCAAUUAUACAUGUCGAGGCAUGCUUCACCACCUCCUCUAUGUGACAAUCUCAUUAAUCCUUAAACCUUCAAU